AGAGUUUGAUCCUGGCUCAGGAUGACUUUUGGCGGCGUGCUUAACACAUGCAAGUCGAACGAAGCACUCUAUUUGAUUUUCUUCGGAAAUGAAGAUUUUUUUACUGAGUGGCGGACGGGUGAGUAACGCGUGGGUAACCUGCCUCAUACAGGGGGAUAACAGUUGGAAACGACUGCUAAUACCGCAUAAGCGCACAGGAUUGCAUGAUCCGGUGUGAAAAACUCCGGUGGUAUGAGAUGGACCCGCGUCUGAUUAGCCAGUUGGCAGGGUAACGGCCUACCAAAGCGACGAUCAGUAGCCGACCUGAGAGGGUGACCGGCCACAUUGGGACUGAGACACGGCCCAAACUCCUACGGGAGGCAGCAGUGGGGAAUAUUGCACAAUGGGGGAAACCCUGAUGCAGCGACGCCGCGUGAGCGAAGAAGUAUUUCGGUAUGUAAAGCUCUAUCAGCAGGGAAGAAGAAUGACGGUACCUGACUAAGAAGCACCGGCUAAAUACGUGCCAGCAGCCGCGGUAAUACGUAUGGUGCAAGCGUUAUCCGGAUUUACUGGGUGUAAAGGGAGCGCAGGCGGUGCGGCAAGUCUGAUGUGAAAGCCCGGGGCUCAACCCCGGUACUGCAUUGGAAACUGUCGUACUAGAGUGUCGGAGGGGUAAGUGGAAUUCCUAGUGUAGCGGUGAAAUGCGUAGAUAUUAGGAGGAACACCAGUGGCGAAGGCGGCUUACUGGACGAUAACUGACGCUGAGGCUCGAAGGCGUGGGGAGCAAACAGGAUUAGAUACCCUGGUAGUCCACGCCGUAAACGAUG
rnacentral:rRNA from 1 species